AUAUAAAGUGGUUUUUUAUUAAUGAAACAUUUCAUUGCAUUAAGGGUAGAAAUAAACAUGUCAAGAACCGCAUGAAGUGAACCAACUGUAUAAGCUACAUGAAGAGCAUUCUGGUCAGUAUUCUUGUUAACAGGCACAAGCAAUUUAGUGAUAAUGUCCAGAGGGCCAAGGAUGCGGACCACCUUUUGCAGAACUCAUAUCUCGAGCAGUUUAAAUUAAAAAUUAGCCUCCCUUAAGUUAAAAACCCCAAUAGGGGUUAGUCGUGUAGUGCUUGUUCCACUUGACCAUUAGUGAUCUUUCUAGAACAUGAGGAAAUCAAGUCUGGUUAGAAAAGCCUGGAGCUAAAAGUGGCAAAGCCCAUUUCCUGUCCUGUGCUCAACUCCUAAUUUUCCCUGAGAGAAGUGAGUUAAGCUCUCUGUCUUGGUUUCUUCCUCUCUAAGUUGAGGAUCAUGGUACCAGAAGCUUGCAUUCUGUGAUCAUGACAGUGCUUACAAUCACAAAGCCUUUGGGGGUCUUUCUAAGAUAACUGCCGCAAGAAAAUGAGCAUGAGAAAUAAUUCAUCUUCAACUUAAAGCCAAAUAGGUGCAUUCAUUCCUCUUAAUCUAUAAUUUUGACUGUAGUUUGUAGAUCUGUCUCAGACUUUUCAGAAGGAUAGUAUCAAAUGUGAUUUAAACCAAGUAACUAUUAAGAAUCAUAAAACAGGCCAGGCCCGGUGGCUUACGCCUGUAAUCCCAGCACUUUGGGAGGCUGAGGCAGGCAGAUCACGAGGUCAGGAGAUUGAGACCAUCCUGGCUAACAUGGUGAAACCCCAUCUCUACUAAAAAUACAAAAAAAUUAGCCGGGCAUGGUGGCAGGCACCUGUAGUCCCAGCUACUUGGGAGGCUGAGGCAGGAGAAUG
rnacentral:lncRNA from 1 species